UACGUAGGGUCCGAGCGUUGUCCGGAAUUAUUGGGCGUAAAGGGCUCGUAGGCGGUUAGUCACGUCGGGAGUGAAAACUCAGGGCUCAACCCUGAGCGUGCUUCCGAUACGGGCUGACUAGAGUACUGCAGGGGAGACUGGAAUUCCUGGUGUAGCGGUGGAAUGCGCAGAUAUCAGGAGGAACACCGAUGGCGAAGGCAGAUCUCUGGGCCGUAACUGACGCUGAGGAGCGAAAGCAUGGGGAGCGAACAGG
rnacentral:rRNA from 1 species